AGAGUUUGAUCAUGGCUCAGGAUGAACGCUGGCGGUAUGCUUAACACAUGCAAGUCGAACGAAAGUUUUUAACUUUAGUGGCGAACGGGCGCGUAAUACGUGAGAAUCUGCCCUUAGGAGGAGGAUAACUGCUGGAAACGGCUGCUAAUACUCCAUAUGUCGAGAGAUGAAAUAAUUUAUUGCCUAAGGAUGAGCUCGCGCCUGAUUAGCUAGUUGGUGAGGUAAUGGCUCACCAAGGCCACGAUCAGUAGCUGGUUUGAGAGAACGAUCAGCCACACUGGGACUGAGACACGGCCCAGACUCCUCCGGGAGGCAGCAGUGAGGAAUUUUCCGCAAUGGGCGAAAGCCUGACGGAGCAAUACCGCGUGAGGGAUGAAGGAUUUUGGUCUGUAAACCUCUUUUCUCAAGAAAGAAGUUCUGACGGUACUUGAGGAAUAAGCAUCGGCUAACUCCGUGCCAGCAGCCGCGGUAAUACGGGGGAUGCAAGCGUUAUCCGGAAUCAUUGGGCGUAAAGCGCCUGUAGGUUGUUUAUUAAGUCUGUUGUUAAAGACUAGGGCUUAACCCUAGGAAAGCAAUGGAAACUAGUAGACUAGAGUAUGGCAGGGGUAGAGGGAAUUUCUAGUGUAGCGGUGAAAUGCGUAGAUAUUAGAAAGAACACCGGUGGCGAAAGCGCUCUACUGGACCAUUACUGACACUCAGAGGCGAAAGCUAGGGUAGCAAAAGGGAUUAGAUACCCCUGUAGUCCUAGCCGUAAACGAUGGAUACUAGAUGUUGUGCAUAAGUACAGUAUCGUAGCUAACGCGUUAAGUAUCCCGCCUGGGGAGUACGCUCGCAAGGUGAAACUCAAANNANUGACGGGGNNCGCACAGCGNNNGCAUGUGNUUAAUU
rnacentral:rRNA from 1 species